AUUUACAAACAAAAUGAACUUAUAACUAACUGACCAUGGCAUUGCCACUUGAACUUACAAAUUCAAUCUAUAAAUGAAUUUUGGUUGAUAAACGU
rnacentral:misc_RNA from 1 species